UAAGCCUCCAUGUCUCACUCAGGAGCUCUGGCUUCAACGCUCUAGUGGAAAGAGGCGUGCUGGGCCGAGGAAGGCCCAGCCUUGUGCCGGGGCAUGAGUGCAGGAGGCUGUGCAUCCUCUCACAAUGCUUCCAGGUGGGCCCUAUGAUGAUCACCAUUUUACAAAUGAUGAAACAGAGGCCAAGCAUAGAGGCCAAGCACUUUAUCAGAGGACGGUGGUGGAGCUGGGCUGUGAUUACAGGCAGUCUGGUCUGGCGAGGUCCUCCCAGCUGUAUGGGACGCUGCCUCUUGGAACCAGGCCCAUGACUUCCUUGCCUGUUCGGUGCCAUCUCCCCAGCUCUUUGUCAUUUCUUCCCCUGUGCCUAGGUCAGAACAUCAUUGCCAGGUCAGAAAAGAAACUCUUGAUUUCUGUGAGGGAGCAUGUGAAGGAGCUUCCCAGCCCACGGCUUUCAGUGGUGAAGGCUCCCAUCCUGUAGGUUGCCUUUUAAUUUUGUUGACUGUUUCCUUUGCUGUGCAGAGCUUUUUAUCUCGAUGACCUCCCAAUAGCUGAUUAUUGCUUUUGUUUCCCUUGCUUUUAUAGAUGUGUCUACCAAGAAGUUGCUGCGGCCAAGUUCAAAGAGGUUGCUGCCUGUGUCCUCCUCUAGGAUUUUGAUGGACUCCUGGCCACGUGUAGAUCUCUCAUCCAUUCUGAGUUUAUCUUUGUGUAUGGUGUAAGGUUCCUCAAGAAGUUAAAAAUAGGGCUACCCUACAACUCAGCAAUUGCGCCACUGGGUAUUUACCCCAAAGAUACUGAUGUAGUGAAAUGACAGUACACCUGCAUCCCAAUGUUUAUAGCAGCAAUGUCCACAACAGCCAAACUGUGGAAGGAGCCCAAAUGUCCUUUGACAGAUGAAUGGGUAAAGAAGAUGUGGUAUAUACACACCAUGGAAUAUUACUCAGCCAUCAGAAAGGACGAAUAUCUACCAUUUGCUUUGAUGUGGAUGGAACUGGAGGGUAUUAUGUUGAGUGAAAUAAUUCAGUCAGAGACAGACAAUUAUUGUAUGGUUUCACUCAUAGUUGGAAUAUAAGAAAUAGUGCAAGGGACCAUAAAGGAAGGGGGGAACCGAGAGGGGAAAAAUUAGGGAGGAAGACAAACCAUGAGAGACUCUUCACUUUGGGAAACGAACAAAGGUUUGCAGAAGGGGAGGAGGGUGAAGGAUAGGGUAACUGGGUGAUGGGCAUUAAGGAGGACACUUGAUGGGAUGAGCGCUGGGAGUUAUACUAUAUGUUGGCAAAUUGAAUUUAAAUAAAAGAAUAAUAAUAAUAAAUGGUGAAGGCUCC
rnacentral:lncRNA from 1 species